rnacentral:rRNA from 1 species
GACGAACGCUGGCGGCGUGCCUAAUACAUGCAAGUAGAACGCAGUUGCGAACGGGUGAGUAACGCGUAGGUCACUUCCUGGUAGCGGGGGAUAACUAUUGGAAACGAUAGCUAAUACCGCAUACUACCAGAUGGACCUGCGUUGUAUUAGCUAGUUGGUGAGGUAACGGCUCACCAAGGCAACGAUACAUAGCCGACCUGAGAGGGUGAUCGGACACAAUGGAAAUGAGACACGUAACAGACUCCUACGGGAGGCAGCAGUAGGGAAUCGUCGGCAAUGGGGGGAACCCUGACCGAGCAGCGCCGCGUGAGUGAAGAAGGUUUUCGGAUCGUAAAGCUCUGUUGUUAAGGAAGCGGUACGUAACCAGAAAGGGACGGCUAACUACGUGCCAGCAGCCGCGGUAAUUC